AGUGAACGCUGGCGGUAGGCCUAACACAUGCAAGUCGAACGGCAGCACAGUAAGAGCUUGCUCUUACGGGUGGCGAGUGGCGGACGGGUGAGGAAUACAUCGGAAUCUACUUUUUCGUGGGGGAUAACGUAGGGAAACUUACGCUAAUACCGCAUACGACCUACGGGUGAAAGCAGGGGAUCUUCGGACCUUGCGCGAUUGAAUGAGCCGAUGUCGGAUUAGCUAGUUGGCGGGGUAAAGGCCCACCAAGGCGACGAUCCGUAGCUGGUCUGAGAGGAUGAGCAGCCACACUGGAACUGAGACACGGUCCAGACUCCUACGGGAGGCAGCAGUGGGGAAUAUUGGACAAUGGGCGCAAGCCUGAUCCAGCCAUACCGCGUGGGUGAAGAAGGCCUUCGGGUCGUAAAGCCCUUUUGUUGGGAAAGAAAAGCAGCAGGUUAAUACCCCGCUGUUCUGACGGUACCCAAAGAAUAAGCACCGGCUAACUUCGUG
rnacentral:rRNA from 1 species